rnacentral:rRNA from 1 species
UUUGGUUUGUAAAGCACUUUUAAGCAGUGAAGAAGACCUAACGGUUAAUACCCGUUAGCGAUGACAUUAGCUGCAGAAUAAGCACCGGCUAACUCUGUGCCAGCAGCCGCGGUAAUACAGAGGGUGCAAGCGUUAAUCGGAAUUACUGGGCGUAAAGCGAGCGUAGGUGGCUUGAUAAGUCAGAUGUGAAAUCCCCCGGGCUUAACCUGGGAACUGCAUCUGACACUGUUGGGCUAGAGUAGGUGAGAGGGAGGUAGAAUUUCAGGUGUAGCGGUGAAAUGCGUAGAGAUCUGAAGGAAUACCGAUGGCGAAGGCAGCGUCCUGGCAUCAUACUGACACUGAGGUUCGAAAGCGUGGGUAGCAAACAGGAUUAGAUACCCUGGUAGUCCACGCCGUAAACGAUGUCUACUAGUCGUUGGGGAACUUGAUUCCUUAGUGACGCAGCUAACGCAAUAAGUAGACCGCCUGGGGAGUACGGCCGCAAGGUUAAAACUCAAAUGAAUUGACGGGGGCCCGCACAAGCGGUGGAGCAUGUGGUUUAAUUCGAUGCAACGCGAAGAACCUUACCUGGUCUUGACAUAUCUAGAAUCCUGCAGAGAUGCGGGAGUGCCUUCGGGAAUUAGAAUACAGGUGCUGCAUGGCUGUCGUCAGCUCGUGUCGUGAGAUGUUGGGUUAAGUCCCGCAACGAGCGCAACCCUUUUCCUUAGUUACCAGCGGUUUGGCCGGGGACUCUAAGGAUACUGCCAGUGACAAACUGGAGGAAGGCGGGGACGACGUCAAGUCAUCAUGGCCCUUACGACUAGGGCUACACACGUGCUACAAUGGUAGGUACAGAGGGCAGCUACACAGCGAUGUGAUGCGAAUCUCAAAAAGCCUAUCGUAGUCCAGAUUGGAGUCUGCAACUCGACUCCAUGAAGUAGGAAUCGCUAGUAAUCGCGGAUCAGAAUGCCGCGGUGAAUACGUUCCCGGGCCUUGUACACACCGCCCGUCACACCAUGGGAGUUGAUUGCACCAGAAGUGGGUAGCCUAACUUUUAGAGGGCGCUCACCACGGUGUGGUUGAUGACUGGGGUGAAGUCGUAACAAGGUAA